AGAAUUUGUCACUUUUUUUAAAAACCUCAUCUCUGAAGAAAGUGGUGAGGAGUUGUUCUCAUCCCUGGUUUGGCUGCUGAGGACAGCCCAAAGCACAGACGGGCUUCGACAGUGGCAGUGCCUGCCGGAGGCAGUGAGAAAGGACUGACAAAAUUCUGGUGGUAAACAGCACUGAGCAGAUGCAGAUGGAAUUGUGAGGCUUGAGCUGCACCUCUAAAUCAUUACAAGACAGACUCUGCCAGGCAAGAGAUUCCUGCUGGAACGGGACUGAUCCAUCCUGGUCCCUGGGCCUGCAGUGAACUCAGUAUUUUUCUUAUGGAAAGUUGGGCCAUGAAAAAAGAAUCCCGUGUUUGCACAAAGGAUGCAAAGGAUGCACAAAGGAUCUUAAAAUGUUUUCUGAGAACAGCUUAAAAAAUUGAAAUCACUUUCGCAAUUUAGAGGAAAAGCGAACAAUUUAUUUAAGUACUUAAUCCGUUGUGCAUCAAGGCACUUUAAUGAAUCAGACAAGAAGCAGACCUGAAGCACGACAAAGGCGGUAAGAAGAAUAUGCGAGGAAAAACUUGAUCUUAUUUACUUUUAUUUGUGAGGUGGAAGGGAAAAGUGGUUGAAAUCUCCCAGGUUAAUGGAAUUCUGAAUGUUACCUUGUGUGGCCGUGGUAUCUUGAGGAGCAGAUUAGCAGCUGGCUGUAUCAGUUUGCUGGCAGAGCAGCAGAAUUCCUGAACUUUGGCUGUCUUUGGUCUCAUACCCAGAGGAGCCGCGUUCCAACUGCAGACAGAGCUCAGCUGCCCUGCGUGGCCAUCCUGCCUCCACUCCAGCAGGCCAACUACAUUAGCAGGAACUGAGGAUGAAAAAACUCUUUUAAGGAGCAAUAUUAAUCAUCAGCCCCAGCAAACAUCGUUUGGGUCAGUGG